rnacentral:rRNA from 1 species
CAGCAGCCGCGGUAAUACGGAGGGAGCUAGCGUUGUUCGGAAUCACUGGGCGUAAAGCGUGCGCAGGCGGUUCGGAAAGAAAGAUGUGAAAUCCCAGGGCUCAACCUUGGAACUGCAUUUUUAACUACCGGACUAGAGUAUGUCAGAGGGAGGUGGAAUUCCACGUGUAGCAGUGAAAUGCGUAGAUAUGCGGAGGAACACCGAUGGCGAAGGCAGCCCCCUGGGCCAACACUGACGCUCAUGCGCGAAAGCGUGGGGAGCAAACAGGAUUAGAUACCCCCGUAGUCCCUGUCUCUUAUAC